rnacentral:lncRNA from 1 species
AUGAAGCUAAAUUUCUAGGAAAUGUCUCUAGUAUGUUAAAGUUCUUUGUUAAUAGCUGAUUAAAACAUUUUACUUUCACAGGAGAUGCUCAGGUCCAGUGUAUUUCAAGGAACAGAAAUGUAAAGGAAAUCUAGUAUGCUUCCAUUUUUCCCAUGAAGAAUAUUUGAAUUAAGUUUUCUUUACCUCUUGAAAGAAUACCUGUUCUUGCAUAACCUGUGACUGCACCAGAUAUUCUGAGAAAGCAGCAAGAAGCAAAAGCUGGAAAUAGCUAUUUCACAGCAGCUUGCCCACCAUGCUGAACCGCAGCUGGAAUGUUCAUUGACAACAGCAAGCCUGAUCUGGAGGUGUGUGCGGCAUAGAAUUACUUGAAUAAACAGUGAAGAACAUUUCCAAGGACUAAACAAGAGUUUAUAAGUCCCAGCCCCUCACCAGGAAAAUAAUAUAUGUGCAUUGGAUUUUCACUCACGCAAAAUUUACUCACAUCGUUAAAUAAGGGCUCUGAAACUACCUUGUAUAA